GUGAUCGUAGCUCAAUUGGUCAGAGCGUCGGACUGUGGCUCCGAAGGCUGAGGGUUCAAGUCCCUUCGAUCACCCA
rnacentral:tRNA from 1 species